rnacentral:rRNA from 1 species
GACGAACGCUGGCGGCGUGCCUAAUACAUGCAAGUAGAACGCUGAAGGAGGAGCUUGCUUCUCUGGAUGAGUUGCGAACGGGUGAGUAACGCGUAGGUAACCUGCCUGGUAGCGGGGGAUAACUAUUGGAAACGAUAGCUAAUACCGCAUAAGAGUAGAUGUUGCAUGACAUUUGCUUAAAAGGUGCAAUUGCAUCACUACCAGAUGGACCUGCGUUGUAUUAGCUAGUUGGUGGGGUAACGGCUUACCAAGGCGACGAUACAUAGCCGACCUGAGAGGGUGAUCGGCCACACUGGGACUGAGACACGGCCCAGACUCCUACGGGAGGCAGCAGUAGGGAAUCUUCGGCAAUGGACGGAAGUAUGACCGAGCAACGCCGCGUGAGUGAAGAAGGUUUUCGGAUCGUAAAGCUCUGUUGUAAGAGAAGAACGAGUGUGAGAGUGGAAAGUUCACACUGUGACGGUAUCUUACCAGAAAGGGACGGCUAACUACGUG